CUGCUUUAUCAGAUAAAACCUCAUGGCCAUGGUGACGUCCAUUCACUUCUUUACUCAAGUGGCCUUCUUAAAGUUUGGCAUGAUGCAGGCUUAAGAUGGGUCCUUUUUUUCCAGGACACCAACGGUCUACUUUUCAAGGCAAUUCCAGCAGCACUAGGCGUCAGUACCACAAAACAAUACCAUGUCAAUUCUCUCGCUGUUCCUCGGAAAGCAAAAGAAGCCAUUGGUGGCAUUACCAAGCUUACUCAUAAAAAUGGUGCGUAGAUAAGUUGUUU